rnacentral:rRNA from 1 species
AGACGGAGGGUGCGAACGUUGUUCGGAAUCACUGGGCAUAAAGCGCACGUAGGCGGUCCACUAAGUCGAAUGUGAAAGCCCCCGGCUCAACCGGGGAACUGCAUCCGAUACUGGUGGACUUGAGGACGGUUGGGGUGAGUGGAACCCCUGGUGGAGCGGUGAAAUGCGUAGAUAUCAGGAGGAACACCAGUGGCGAAAGCGGCUCACUGGACCGUCUCUGACGCUGAGGUGCGAAAGCUAGGGUAGCGAACGGGAUUAGAAACCCCGGUAGUCC